rnacentral:lncRNA from 1 species
CCAGGCUGGAGUGCAGUGGCACGGUCUCGGCUCACUGCAAGCUCCGCCUCCUGGGUUCACACCAUUCUCCUGCCUCAGCCUUCCAAGUAGCUGGGACUACAGGCACCUGCCACCAUGCCUGGCUAAUUUUUUUGUAUUUUUUUAGUAGAGACAGGGUUUCACCAUGUUAGCCAGGAUGGUCUCGAUCUCCUGACCUCGUGAUUCGCCCUCCUCGGCCUCCCUAAGUGCUGGGAUUACAGGCAUGAGCCACCACGCUCGGCCCCUAUUAUAUUUUUAAAAAUUAUACUUUUAAAUAAA